rnacentral:rRNA from 1 species
CCUACGGGUGGCAGCAGUGGGGAAUAUUGCACAAUGGGCGCAAGCCUGAUGCAGCCAUGCCGCGUGUGUGAAGAAGGCCUUCGGGUUGUAAAGCACUUUCAGCGGGGAGGAAGGCGGUGAGGUUAAUAACCUCAUCGAUUGACGUUACCCGCAGAAGAAGCACCGGCUAACUCCGUGCCAGCAGCCGCGGUAAUACGGAGGGUGCAAGCGUUAAUCGGAAUUACUGGGCGUAAAGCGCACGCAGGCGGUCUGUCAAGUCGGAUGUGAAAUCCCCGGGCUCAACCUGGGAACUGCAUUCGAAACUGGCAGGCGAGAGUCUUGUAGAGGGGGGUAGAAUGCCAGGUGUAGCGGUGAAAUGCGUAGAGAUCUGGAGGAAUACCGGUGGCGAAGGCGGCCCCCUGGACAAAGACUGACGCUCAGGUGCGAAAGCGUGGGGAGCAAACAGGAUUAGAUACCCGAGUAGUC